CAAGGUUUCCGUAGGUGAACCUGCGGAAGGAUCAUUACUGAAUUGUCAAACGGGUUGUUGCUGGCCCUCAUAGGGGGCAUGUGCACGCUCUGUUUACACAUCCACUCACACCUGUGCACCCUCUGUAGUUCUAUGGUCUGGGGGACCCUGUCUUCCUUCUGUGGUUCUACGUCUUUACACACACACUGUAAUAAAGUUUUAUGGAAUGUACAUCGCGUCUAACGCAAUACAAUACAACUUUCAGCAACGGAUCUCUUGGCUCUCGCAUCGAUGAAGAACGCAGCGAAAUGCGAUAAGUAAUGUGAAUUGCAGAAUUCAGUGAAUCAUCGAAUCUUUGAACGCACCUUGCGCCCCUUGGCUAUUCCGAGGGGCAUGCCUGUUUGAGUAUCAUGAACACCUCAACUCUCAUGGUUUGCCAUGAUGAGUUGGACUCUGGGGGUUUUGCUGGCCUGUGGUCGGCUCCUCUCAAAUUAAUCAGCCUCCCAGUGUUUGGUGGCAUCACGGGUGUGAUAAAUAUCUACGCUCGCUGUUGUCUGCCAGGUAACCUUUGGUCACAAAGGUUUGCUGGAGCUCACAGAUGUCUCUCCUCAGCGAGGACAGCUUUUUUAACGUUCGAUCUCAAAUCAGGUAGGACUACCCGCGAAC
rnacentral:rRNA from 1 species